rnacentral:rRNA from 1 species
AUGUGCGACCAUGUGGUCGGCGCCACCACCACCUACGCCCUAUGGCACAAGAUCAAAGACUUCUUUCUCGCCAAUCGCGAUGCUCGCUUCAUGAUCCUCAAUCGCCAAUACCGAAACCUCAAACCGGGUGAUCUCUCUGUGUCCGAGUACGCACGCCUUCUGAAGCUCCUCACCGACGCUCUCGCCGACAUUGAUCGUGCCGUUACCGAGCUGGAUCUCACCACCCAAUUUCUUCAUGGCCUCGACAAGCGGCUCGACACCAUCUGCGUCGUCCUCGGUGACCAGGGCCUCCCCUUCGACACCGUGCUCUCCCGCGUUGUUCUCGCAGAGGAGUCGCAGGCGCAGCGCGCGGCUGAGGAAGGCGCCUCUGCGUUCGCCAUGGCGGGCGGCAGCUCUUCAGGCGCUGGCUCCUUGGCCGGCCCCUCUGGUGGUCGCGGCAACGGCGAUCGCCCCUCUGAUCGCACCCCGGACGCCACCCAUCCGUCGGCCCCCUCCUCUGGCCGCGGGCGCGGUGACCGCUCUGGUGACGGCGGUGACCGUGGACGCGGGCGCGGUCGAGGACGCGGUGACCACUCUGGACGCGGUGACCCUUCUCCCCCUUCACGGGGUACUUCGCCCCCUACGAGAUGGCGCUCCCGUCGCCACGCUCUGGUUGGAUCCCGCCGAACGCCGCCGGUGUUCUUGGACCCCGCCCCGGCGCCCAUGCUCAGGCACCCAAGGUAA